CCAUUCCUAAAGUAUUGGUUGUAUAGGAGUUUUAAAUAUAUAACAUGAAUUUUUGAGAUAGCUGGGUAAUGAAUGAAGUUUGAGAAACAUUUAGGCCUUUAGAAAUCUGCUAGAAUAAGAAAUAAAAGUGGUAAAAGUGGACAUCCUUGCUUUGUUCAGGUCUUAGGGGGAAGGUAUUUAGUCUUUUACUUUUGAGCAUGUAUGACAUUAGAUGUAAGUUUUUCAUAGGUGUCUUUCAUCAAUAGGAUGUUCUCAUUUAUUCCUAAUUAUGUAAGAGUUUUUAUCAUGAAUAGGUGUUGAAUUAUGUCACAUGAUUUUUCUGUAUCGAGAUUAUCAUUUGAUUUAUUCCUUUGGUCUAUUAAUGUGGUGACUUAAUUAAUUUUUGAAUGUUAAACCAACCUUGCACUCAUAGGUUAAAUGCAUUUGGUCAUACGUAUUGUCAUUUUUAUAUCCUUCAGGAUUUCAUUUGUAAAUAUUGUAUUCAGAGUUUUUGCAUUCAUAUUCAUGAGAGAUAUUGAUGUGUAGUUUUUCUUUUCUUGCGAUGCCUGUCUUUGAUUUUGGUAUCAGAACAAUACUGGCUCUGUAAAAUGCAUGUGGAAGUAUUCUUUCCUCCUCAGUUUUCUGAUAGAGAUAUUAAUAAAUAUUUAAUAGAAUUCCCCAGUGAAGAAAGUAUGCUUGAAAUUUUCUCUAUGGGAAGGUUUAUAGUUAUGAAUUCAAUUUCUUGUGUAGACUACUCAGUUUCCUAUUUCUUCUUAUAAGGGUUUUGGUAAUUUGUGUCUUUCAAGGAAUUUAUCUCUUUCAUCUAGCUGUCAAAGUUUUCGGCAUGAAGUUGUUUAUAACAUUUCCUAAUUACUCUUUAACAUCUGUAAGAUCUUGAGGACACAGUUUUCAAAAGGGAGACUGGAGGACUCAUUCACAUCUCUAAGGAAAGUCCACCAGAUUGACUCUAAUACUACUUGGGUUUUCGUGAUAAAAACUGGUAUAGUUUUUUUUUUUUUUUUAAUAAACUAAGAAAUUACUUUUGAUUACCUGAUGGACUAGUAUUCUGAUUACUUUAACAGCUGUAUGGAAGCUAUUUUCUGAUGUCUGUUUUUAAUUUUUUUCCAGCUUUACUGGAAUAUAAUUGACAUAUAACAUCAUGUAAAUUUAAGGUAUACAACAUGAUAAUUAUAUAUGAUUACUAUAAUAAGGUUAGUUAUCAUAUCCAUCACCUCACAUAGUUACCGUGUGUGUGUCUGUGUCAUGAGAACAUUUAAAAUCUGCUCAUUUCAAGUAUACAUUACAUAAUUGUUAACUAUAGUCACCAUGCUGUUCAUUAGAUUAAAUGCUUUAAAGGUUGGAAUUAGAGGACAUGAGAAGAAUUAGUGUGGAAGGGAGGGAGACUUAGGCAAAUAAUUUUCACUGGUGAAAACUGUCUCUAAAUGAAUUCUUUCUUAUUUUUAAGUCCUACCAAAAAAUGGUACAAUGGGAGUUCCCCUCAUGGCUCAGUGGUUAACAAGUCCGACUCAUAUCCAUGAGGAUGCAGGUUCAAUCCCUGGCCUUGUGCAGUGGGUUAAGGACCCGGCAUUGCUGUGGCUGUGGUAUAGGCUGGCAGCUACAGCUCCAAUUCAACCCCUAGCCUGGGAACCUCCAUACGCCACGGGUGUGGCCCUAAAAAGACGAAAAAGACCCCAAAAAUGGUACAACUAUAAAUAUAAAAAAAAUUCGUUGAGUUAAAAAAAAUUGGCCUGUGAAAAAAUAACAGUACUCCCCCUAAAAGUCCUGUAUUAUCAGAGGAAAGAUCCUAGGUCACUUUCUCUGUUAUUGUUACUUGCUAGAAAAAUCUAACUUGACUAUAUCACAUUUAAUUGAAGUUUCUUUUGGAUAUAUAGUUUGUUUCCUCUAGCUACCCUUUCCCUCACAACCAUUUUUGGCCCAUAAGGAGAAAUAGAAAUUUACUAACAAUAACAUCAGGGUUAAAGGAGACAUCUCCAACAUGUACCCUGUGGCAUUUUAGAAAAUAUGCGUAUGACAUGUUGUCAAAGGGAGAUGUUUGUAUUAAACUGUCUUCAAAGCCUAGCUCUAGGUCAUUGGUCUUGGCCAAAAUAAAUGUCCUCAACUACAAAAAGGAAAAGAUAAUACCCACCUCAAGGUUAUUGUGAGUUCAUAUAUAUAAAGUGCUUAAUAUAGUGAUCACAGGGAAUUCCUCUAGAGGCUGUAAAUGCAGUCUGGAAGGGAGACAUCAGUGUAGCAGAAGCAGAAGCCAUAGAUAUUUAAGUACUUCUUCUAACUUGCUUGUGUCUUCAGGGCCUGCUCAGAUUUGAUCCGUUUUGUACCACUUUCAUUUGAUAAUGGAGUGCUUUUGUGCAUGCCCAACUUAAUAGUUUGGUGAUUCAGAGAAAACCCAGUUCAUGAGAGACAGCCCAAAUCACAUGGUAGCUUGGUGUCACAUGGUUAAUCAUUUAGUCCCUAUUAAAGCCAAGAAGCAGGCCUAGGUCUGAUUCUCAGAAGAGUAGUUGUUAUCUGCAGAGAUUGGCAGGGUUUGCUCCCAGAUAGAAGGGCCUGGGCUGUAAUUCACCAAUAGGGGCCUGGCAAAGGCUCCAGAAAGCAUCCCUAUUUGCCACCAACACUUUAAGCACCAUUGGACAUCUGCUGGGUCAUGUGGCUCAAGUGGUAGAGCAGCUUGCACAGCAGCCUGGACCUGAUGCAGAGCCUUCUAUUCUGGGACCCACUCAAAACUACCAACCUUUUGGGUCACCUGGUAAAUAGGCCAAAGUAACAAAUCCAAGUGAGUAGUAUGUGGCCUCUAAAAUUCAAAGGGGCUUAUCAAGCACUGUGCUUCUCUUUCAGCUGUAGGAAGAGCCAGAUCCAACAACAUGUCCUUUACCUUAGAUAUGAUAUGUGGACAUGUCCUACACCACUGAACCCCUAGAAAUAUCAUUAAGGCCCCUUAACUUUUGUCAGAUUUAUUUCUCACACUCUGGCAUGCAAAUGACGUACCAAUAAGACUAGAGUAGUUGCUAGUUCUUGCUCACUAGGUCCAAUCAGCAUUGUGUCAUCAAUCUAAUGGACCAGUGUGAUAUCUUGUGGAAGGGAAAUGUGAUCAAGAGUCCUGCAAACUAAACUGAGACAUGGGGCUGGAGAGUUAAUAUACCCCUGAGGUAGGACAGAGAAGGUAUAUUUCUGGCCUUGCCAGCUGAAGGCAAUGUGGUCCUUACUGACAGAGAUGGAGUAAAAGGCAUUUCCAGAUCACUAGCUGCAUACCAGUUACCAGAGGAUAUGUUAAUUUGCUCAAGCAAUGAAGCUACAUCUGGUUCAGAACCUUCAAUUGGAGUCAAUAUGGAAGCUUAUGGUAGUCCAAUAUCAUGCUCCAAACCUUCUAGAGGCCAGAUAGGCUAGCUGAACCGGAAUGUGGUAGAAAUUACCACCCCUGUAUCUCUCAAGUCCUUGAUGGCACUAAUCUCUGCAAUCCCUCCAGCAAAGCAGUAUUGUUUUGGCUUACUAUUUUCCUACGUAGAGAUAGUUCUGGUGGAUUCCUCUUGGCCUUUCCCACAAUAUUAGUCCUCACUCCACAAGUUAAGGAAUCAGUGUGGGGAUUCUGUCAACUGCUGACUAUGUCUACUCCAAUUAUGCAUUCUGGAACUGGGGAAAUAAACAUUAGAUGAGUUCAGGGACCCAAAGGGCUCACUGUGAGACAGACCUGAGCUAAAACUCCAAUCAUCACCUGACUUCUGUAAUCCUCUGGUCUGACUAGUGGACGACAAUGAUGUUUUGAGUCUUCUAGAAUUAAUAUCAGUUCAGAGCCAGUGUGCAUUAGUCUCCAAAAUGUUUGAUUAUUUUCUUUUCUUCAAUGCAAUUACUCAGGUAAAAGGCUAUGGAUCCCUUUGGGGAAGGCUAGGAGAAAGACUGACAGUGUAAGUUCUUGGCAAUGUACCAGGGUCCUUCCUUAGGGAACCCAGCCUUCUCUUCAUCCAAGGAGUUCUGAGUAACUAAACUUGCCCAAGUUUAGGAGUUUAUUGAGGGUCUGUGACUCUCUGUUUUUAUAAUUCAGGUGAGACUUUUGUUCACCUGACCUAGAACUUUUCUGCUUAUACAGAUCAAGUUAGAAUUUUGUUUGUUUUAUUGGAGUAUGGUUGCUUUACAAUAAAUACCAUGUUAGUUUCAGGUGUACAGAAUAGUGAUUCAGUACUUUGGUGGAUUAUACUCUGUUAUGGGUUAUUACAAGAUAAUGGGUAGAAUUCCCUGUGCUAUACAGUAUAUCCAUGUUGCUUGUCUAUUUUAAAUACAGUAGUUUUUAUCUGUUAAGUCUAAACAUUCUAAAAUGUUCUUAGUCUGUGUGGAAGGGAAAAAAAUAAAGAAUAUCUUCAAUUUAACUUGAAGUUUAAAUUGAAUAUCUUCAAUUUAACUUGAAGUUUAAAUUGAAUAUCUUCAAUUUAACUUAGUUUUACUCCAAACAAUUGCUCGAAAAGCAAUUCACCAUUUGAGGGCAAAAAACUCCCUUUUGAAAAUAGUACUUUGGGGUUUGUUGGGAUUUUUGCAUGACUUUUUUUCGGGCUUUGAAAAAUGCUAAAAAUAUAACUUACUGAACUCAUGGGAAAAGUGAACCACUAUGAUCAGAUAGAGCCUGCUCAAUCCAUGAAUGCUCUGGAAACAUUUCUUAAUUUGACAGGAAAUAGAAAGUUUUUCAGUAGAGUCUCUCAGGGCUAAUUAUAAUCAACUUAUAGAACUGAAGGACUGGUAGGGACUUUGGGAGAUCAAUUUAUCUAUUCUCUGUCUUCUAGCAGGCACAAUAUUUAAACCAUCCCAAGAGAUAAUAAUCUAUUCUAUUUUAAAAAGGUCUGUAAAAUACUGGAAAUCUUAAAUCCUAAAUGCUUUUAUAGACACUAAUAGUAUAUCCCCCACAGGGAUUUCCAGUAGCACAAUUAAUCUAACAUAUGAAGAGCCUGGGACAUAAGUGGUCAAUAAUUAUCAGCUAUAAUUAUUUUUACAUAAUUAAGAUGGCUAGAAAAACUAAGCAUCUUCCUAGGGCUAAGAAAAAAAUUAGCUUCUCUUAAUUUAAAAAAGCAAAUUGGGCUUACUUGCCUAUGUAAUUAUUUUGUAACUGAAUAUUACACAUGAAACACUGGAAAACGUAUAAGCUAUAGAGCCCCUUGUAGAUGUGGGUUUAAAUUCUAUCUCCUGUAACUGCCAUUUUUUUAAAUGGGGACAUUUAUACAAACCUACCUUGUGGGACUGUUGUAGAGAUUAAAUAUAUUAUUUGUAAAGUGUUUUCUACAGCACCUGCCCAUUUGGUCCUUCCAAAUAUUUCCUGUUAAUAGGGCAGGUACUCACUUAAGCAUUAACAAGUGCUUGCAGAAAGAUUGAAUGAUGAAGUUACUAUAAGAUCAGUCUGUGAAGUUAUAAGCACGACUACAGAGAAGGUCUCAUUUCUUAAACUGUUCCGACAAAAGCUGGAUGUUCACAAGACGAGAAUGUUAGAUAUUCUUCCACCUGAAGGGAGAGGGAACUAUAUCACUGGAUCAGACAGCUAAUCCUCUGAAUCACCUAGGGAAACUUCUAAAAGUACAGAUUCUUGAACUCCUAGUCAGAGCUAGAAAAUCAGCCUCUCUGGGGGUGGGAAGAAGAAGGAAGGAAUCCUUUAUUUAAAAAAAAAAAAAAAAAAAAAAACAAGCUAGGUGAUUCCCAUGAUAAGUCAGUGAGAUGACCUCUCUAUUCCCUUCAAGAUUUAAAUUCUGUGAUUCUAAUCACACCUUCUAAGUGAGUCAGAGCUCAGAAUUAUUGUGCAGAAUGAGGUAAUUUGUGGUUUCCUGUCUUUAGAUUAUUGUAGAAGGAAGAAUCACAUAAUGGACAUUAUCUGAUAAAUUAAUGAAGAUUUGUUAUAACAGAAAAAUGAAAAAUUGCCUGAUCUAACUCCUAAGCUUUAGAUCCCUAAUAUUCUGAUGAAUAAAAUGAACAAAGCAAACUGGAUUUGAACGUGAUAUAUUCUGUUCCACAAAAAACCAUGACACAAAAAGGAAAAUACCCAGGGAAUAUUCAAGCAAGCCACAGUCACAGGAGCAAUGGAGAAAUAAGCUGAAGGUAAUGACAGACAGACGGACACCUAGUUUUACCUUAUAACUG
rnacentral:lncRNA from 1 species